GCCUUGUCCGAGUGCAGUGGUGUUUACAAUUAAUUGAUGACAAUUAGUUACAGAUUUUUUUAUUCUUUCCCCAUUCUCAUUGCUUCACUUGACUAGUUAA
rnacentral:Y_RNA from 1 species